rnacentral:lncRNA from 1 species
CCUACUUGUGUUGGGGUGGCAGUCCUGCUUAGACCUGCAUGCUGCUCAGGAGCUGUGGAGUUUACCCGUCUGCCUUCUCCCUGUACCAGCAGUGUCUCCACCAAGCCAGCCUGAAGCAAAGGAUGCAAAUGGCCCCACCUGGAGGAGGGAUGGUGCUACUUGCAGAGGGACCUGCAGGGACACCGUGGGACUGCCCGCAGCACAGCUCCUCUGGCACUGCCUGGGCAGGGAACCCCGCAGUCCAGCACAAGCCAGCUCCCACCAGCACAUCAGCCUCUUGCAGUGUCUGGAUCCGAGCUGUUGCUAAUGAGGAUGGUGCUCAUCAUGUGAUCGUGCCUUUGGGCAAGGGUGGUGGUGCUGCUAAUUGGCUUCUCUGGCUGCGGUUUCCUUAGGAAACAAGGUUAAAGCAACUCACAGCUCAAAAAU